GACGAACGCUGGCGGCGUGCCUAAUACAUGCAAGUAGAACGCUGAAGGAGGAGCUUGCUUCUCUGGAUGAGUUGCGAACGGGUGAGUAACGCGUAGGUAACCUGCCUGGUAGCGGGGGAUAACUAUUGGAAACGAUAGCUAAUACCGCAUAAGAGUAGAUGUUGCAUGACAUUUGCUUAAAAGGUGCAAUUGCAUCACUACCAGAUGGACCUGCGUUGUAUUAGCUAGUUGGUGGGGUAACGGCUCACCAAGGCGACGAUACAUAGCCGACCUGAGAGGGUGAUCGGCCACACUGGGACUGAGACACGGCCCAGACUCCUACGGGAGGCAGCAGUAGGGAAUCUUCGGCAAUGGACGGAAGUCUGACCGAGCAACGCCGCGUGAGUGAAGAAGGUUUUCGGAUCGUAAAGCUCUGUUGUAAGAGAAGAACGGGUGUGAGAGUGGAAAGUUCACACUGUGACGGUAUCUGACCAGAAAGGGACGGCUAACUACGUG
rnacentral:rRNA from 1 species